rnacentral:rRNA from 1 species
UACAGAGGUGCCGAGCGUUAGGCGGAAUCACUGGGCUUAAAGCGUGUGUAGGCGGACUUCUAAGUACCUCGUGAAAUCCCACGGCUCACCCGUGGAACUGCUGGGUAUACUGGUCGUCUUGAGCCACCUAGGGGCGAGCGGAACAAAUGGUGGAGCGGUGAAAUGCGUAGAUAUCAUUUGGAACGCCAACGGUGAAAACAGCUCGCUGGGGGUGUGCUGACGCUGAGACACGAAAGCCAGGGUAGCGGAACGGG